ACUCAGACACAGGCACAUCACAGCCUCUCACAGCCUCCACACACCCCUACACAGUCUCCUUGCGUCCCUCACAGCCCCAUCACACAUAUCCUCUUCUCGUACUCCUUCCAAACAAUGACACACAUAGACGCACACACGCACACAGCUUCUUCUUCUUCCUCCCACAAGCAAAGGCACUCCCCUCCCUCCACACUUCGCAUGCCUCACAACCCAACGCUAACACCUCCUUUUCUAUCUCCUCCUCAGCAUAAAGCCGCAACCUAAAGACGGGCAGACCAAGAGUAACCCUUCCAAGAGGCAUCGGGAGCGGCUGAACGCGGAGCUCGAUAACCUGGCGGGCCUCCUUCCCUUCGAACAAAACAUUCUGUCAAAACUCGAUCGACUGUCCAUUCUGCGGCUCUCCGUCUCUUACCUACGGACCAAGAGCUACUUCCAAGUUAUGAUGCAUGGAGGUGGUGGGGAGAAGACUGAAGGGGAGCCGCAGCACCACCACCCCACCAGACACAGGGACCUCAUUACCUACGACCACCAGGUGCUCGACGGGGAGAUGUUCCUUCAGGCGCUGAACGGCUUCCUGGUGAUCCUGGCGUGCGAGGGCGAGGUGUUCUUCGCCACCCACAAUAUCGAGUCCUACCUGGGCUUUCAUCAGAGUGACAUCGUGCACCAGAGUGUCUACGAGCUGGUCCACUCGGAGGAUCGCGAGGAGCUACAGCGGCAACUCAUGUGGAACUCUCACCUGCCGCCCGACCAGUCCCAGCUUACCCUGCAGGAGGCGCUACACGGGGACCAGGUGGCGCUGGAGAGGAACUUCACCGUCCGCUUCAGGUGUCUCCUCGAUAACACGUCCGGCUUCCUGCGGCUGGACGUGCGAGGGAAGAUCAAAAUCCUGCACGGCCAGAAUCGCAAGACGGAGGAGGCGCCGCUGGCCCUGUUCGCCGUGUGCACGCCCUUCGGCCCGCCCUCCCUGCUCGAGCUGCCGCAGAAGGAGGUCAUGUACAAGUCCAAGCACAAACUGGACCUCUCGCUCGUCUCCAUGGACCAAAAAGGCAAGAUGUUGUUGGGUUAUAGUGACCUGGAACUCGUCAACAAGGGCGGCUAUGACCUCGUCCACUACGAUGACCUCGCUUACGUGGCCUCGGCUCACCAGGAACUACUUAAGACGGGAGCCUCCGGAAUGAUCGCCUACCGCCUUCAGACCCGGGACGGAAGUUGGCAGUGGCUUCAAACAUCCUCUCGACUGGUAUACAAGAACUCCAAGCCGGACUUCAUCAUCUGCACUCACAGGCCUCUCAUGGAGGAGGAGGGACGCGACCUGCUGGGGAAGCGGACGAUGGACUUCAAGGUGUCGUACCUGGACCCCGGCCUCACGCAGUCCUACCUGUGUGACUCGGAGCUGCCGCAGUUGUACGCGUCCCGCAUGAGCCGUAAGUACAAGACGCAGCUGCGAGACUUCCUGACGACGUGCCGCAGCAAGAGGAGCUACACCAACCUGUCCGACACGGCCUACAACAACUACAACAACGUGUACGGUGCCUCGCCCUACGCCACGGACAACGGCCUCUACAUGCAGCAGAACCUCGGCAACCUGCAGUCCCUCUACCCCACCAGCUACCUGCCCGCCGACAACCUGUUCCACUACCGCCAACUGGGCUCCUACUACCCGGACUACAUGACGCACGGCUACGUCAGCAACGGAUACGUGGACCCCACGCGCCCCUGCCUCGGCUAUGACGUCACCAAGACGGCCGCAGACCAGAAGCUGUACUGCGCGACGCAGCUCGACGCCUCCAAGUACCAGUACAAGCCCACGGACGCCUACUCGGCCGUGUACGGCACCAACACGGUGCUGCCCUCGCUCGACCACAAGUACACGGACCUGCGGACGGCGGACGUGCGACGAGACGACCCCUCGGCCCUGGCGUCCCUGGGGGCCCUAGCGGCCACCCCUGGCGCCGCCAGCAGCGUCGCAGUCAGCUCAGCCGUCACGAGUGCCAGUCACAAGGAAGAUACCAAAGACAGCGAGGCGUACCCCAACAACACGCGUCAGACGGUGCUUAUGUGGGGCUCCGCCUCCCACGAUUAUGACCCCAACAAGAAGUACGGCGAGGCGCCCGUGUCCUCCGCCCCGUCGUCGCUGGACCCGAGUUUAGGCGGCGUCGCCUGCAAGUGGGGCACCGCCACUCCAGCGUCCACGCCGGGUGCCCGCAGCAGCGCUGGUGGCUCUCCGCAUGGGCCGGAGGGAUCCUCGCCCCACGGAGGUCCGCCCUCGGCACACUCGGCGCACUCCGCCGCUGUUGCCGCCGCCACCGCCGCCUCAGCCGCCCAUGUCGGCGCAGGUACCGUGGCGCCAGCGGGUAAGGCUGCGUACGGCUACAGUGAGGGCGGCGAGGUAUGGCACCACCAGUACUAUCCUUACCACCCGUAUCACACCCCGCAUGCCAUGGGGGAACCCAGCUACCCGCAGAUCAGCAGGAACCCAAUCCUUUGCUGUCCAUCUCUGAGGUAACCAACACCCUCCUCAACCACCACGACUAGACCUGGUGGUGACGACUCCAAGGGAGAAGGAGGAAGCGCCCCUGUGUGGGAGCCCCGAAGUGACCUCUGACCCGCCACUCCUUGCCCAGUCAUGAGAGCAGCUGAUGACCCCGCCCUCCCAGAGUCCGGUUUUGGGGUCAUUAGAAUUUGUGGCUCCGUACCUCUUCA